rnacentral:rRNA from 1 species
UACGUAGGGUGCGAGCGUUGUCCGGAUUUAUUGGGCGUAAAGAGCUCGUAGGCGGCUUGUCGCGUCGGAUGUGAAAGCCCGGGGCUUAACUCCGGGUCUGCAUUCGAUACGGGCAGGCUAGAGUGUGGUAGGGGAGAUCGGAAUUCCUGGUGUAGCGGUGAAAUGCGCAGAUAUCAGGAGGAACACCGGUGGCGAAGGCGGAUCUCUGGGCCAUUACUGACGCUGAGGAGUGAAAGCGUGGGGAGCGAACAGG